AUUAGAAAAGACUAGCAUAGAAAAGUUUUGUGACAUAACAAAGAGGUUCAAGUUCAGUUUAUAGACUCAGAAUGAGUCUGAGAGUCCAGGGUUCCAAAGUAGAACCCUAGUCCAAAAUCAAACUUGCCAAAACCCCCAAAUCCUAGGGUUUCAACUUGAAUCAGAUGCAAAGAUGAGAAGACAAAUAACAGGCUCAGAUGUCUCAUUUAGAGACCCAAUAAUAUAGAAUAGCAAGUUUGAAACAACACAGUGAGAAAGCCAAUUUGAAGCAUAAAGAACAUGUUUUAAGAAAAGCUCGGAUCUUAAGCAAAUUCAGAAGAAAAAUGGGUAGUAUAAACUUAAGAAACAGUAGAUGAAACGUGUUUAGGACUCAAACAAAAGUCCAGUAACGGUAAACAAAGGACUAAAAGCUUAGUAUAAAAUGCAGUAAAAAAGGAACACAAGAGUAAACGAACACAUAAGAUAAAUAUGUGGAGGUAUAAUAUAGAACCAGUAGAAGGAAGGAUGAAGAACAAUAGAAGAACAUGCAUAAUAAGGCAAACAUAAAGAACAUGAGAAGAACAUGCUAGAUAGAAAAGAGAACAUACAAACAUAGCACAGACUAGAAAACAUUUUAAGAUUCUUUCAGAAACCCUAAAUCGAAGAGAAAUAAAUUUUGAAAGAAACGAUUGGGAAAAUAUUUUAAAAUCUCAGUAGAACACAUAUAUAGCGCAGAUUUAAAAAAUACCAGAGAAGAACCUCGAAUAGCUUAGGGUCUCAGAGAAACCUAAUAAAUGAGAAAGGCUUGGAAGAAAGUCUGAUCUUGAGUCGGAGAGGUCAGAAUUAGGCUCCUGAUACUUGGAUAUACCGGAGAAAGGCCGGUGAGGCCUCAAAACCAUGGAUCUGAUAAGAUCUAAAAGCACAUUGUUGAGGCUAGACCUCGAAACUUCGAACACCAAGGAUUUAAUGGUGGAGGGGGUAAGUAUAGGCCAUCCAUGUCUUGAGAAGUCAUGGAGUCCGGUGAAAGUGCGAUUGAGAAGGGUAGAAGAUGGCUGGAGUUCCGAAGAACCUUCAAGAGUGUUUUGAGAGAGGAAAGUAUUCAAAAGCAG
rnacentral:lncRNA from 1 species